GUGCCAGCCGCCGCGGUAAUACGUAGGUGGCAAGCGUUGUCCGGAAUUAUUGGGCGUAAAGGGCUCGCAGGCGGUUCCUUAAGUCUGAUGUGAAAGCCCCCGGCUCAACCGGGGAGGGUCAUUGGAAACUGGGGAACUUGAGUGCAGAAGAGGAGAGUGGAAUUCCACGUGUAGCGGUGAAAUGCGUAGAGAUGUGGAGGAACACCAGUGGCGAAGGCGACUCUCUGGUCUGUAACUGACGCUGAGGAGCGAAAGCGUGGGGAGCGAACAGG
rnacentral:rRNA from 1 species